rfam:Parcubacteria bacterium GW2011_GWA2_44_13 TW28_C0013, whole genome shotgun sequence.
CAUGAAGUCGGAAUCGCUAGUAAUCGCAGGUCAGCUAUACUGCGGUGAAUACGUUCUCGAGUCUUGUACUCACCGCCCGUCAACUCAAGGGAGCCGGGAAUAGAUGAAGCUUCGCUUCGGCGGAGUAAGUCUAGGCUCGGUGACAGGGAGUAAGUCGUAACAAGGCACGGCUAGCGGAAGCUGGUCGUGGAGUUUCAUUUUU